rnacentral:tRNA from 1 species
GGUGGCUUAGUGGUAGAGUGCUUGCCUCAUACACAUGAGGCCCUGGGUUCAAUUCCUCAGCACCA